GUCUCGGUAGUGCAAUUAAUUAGCGCACGCUACCGGAAAGGGUGAAGUGCGGGUUCGAUUCCCGCCCGAAUACC